UCGUCGCCGACGUCGCGCCGUGAGCCGUUCGAGCGCACUUGCUGCCGGAGCUUUGCGAGGAGGCCGGGCGAGGGAGCGUCUUCACUGUUCUUGACGUCGCGCCGAGGUUCGACGCUGUCGAGCUCGUUUUCCGCGUAGGAACGUCGGAUCGCGACGAGGCUUGGUUCGUUGGAUUCGGGACUUCGAGAGGAAUCCACGAAGCCCUCACUUGCAAUUUUUGGUCAAGGUUAGCAUGGUCGAAAUCAUGCUCUUCUCAGCUGCUGUGAACGGGGACUGAAUUGUGGAUUUUUGUCAUUUUAGCUUGGCGUUGGCUUGGCGACCGGACUUGGAGAUCCCCGAUUAAUCCAGCAGAGUUCCUUUUAGGUCGAGGCUUCGUUUGCUGCCAGGAGAUAGCACUUUAGAGCCACAGGUUUCGGCUGCUGCACCGUCUGCGGACCUGGA